CUGGUCUGCCCACAUGUGAGCAAACAGCCUUAUGCCUCUGCUGUCACAGCUGAAGUCACUCUAGGCCUCUCCUGCCAGGAUGGACUGCAUCCUCUCAAACUGCCCCAGGAGUCUAUUGCAUGAAGCUAUGAAGGUAAAUCCUGGCUGCAAUGGAAACCCAAGAACAUUGGAGAUACUGGAUACAGGAGACAUCUGCCAAGUCCUACAGUCAAGAAAUUGCCUGAGUCUUGGAAGAGACCUUGCCCAUAUUCUUUUGAACACUUUGGAAUUGUGAAGACUCUUGGUUUUCAGAAGAUGAACUAAAUUUUGCUUUACAAGAUGAACAUUAGACUUUAGGGAUCAGUGGGGAUGUUAUGAAGUACAAGUGAUGUUUUGUGUGUCAAGUUGGAG